rnacentral:rRNA from 1 species
GACGAACGCUGGCGGCGUGCUUAACACAUGCAAGUCGAGCGGAAAGGCCCUUCUUUUGUUGGGUGCUCGAGUGGCGAACGGGUGAGUAACACGUGAGUAACCUGCCCUUUACUUUUGGAUCACUUCAGGUAACUGUGGCUCAUACCGUAUAGUAGCUCCUGCUGCAUGGUGUUGGUUGGCAAGUUUCGGCGGUUGGGGAUGGACUCGCGGCUUAUCAGCUUGUUGGUGGGGUAGUGGCUUACCAAGGCUUUGACGGGUAGCCGGCCUGAGAGGGGGACCGGCAACAUUGGGACGGAGAUACGGCCCAGACUCCUACGGGAGGAAGCAGUGGGGAAAAUUGCAAAAUGGGCGGAAGCCGGAGGCAGAAACGCGGCGUGCGGGAUGACGGCCUUCGGGUGGUAAACCGCUUUCGCCGGUGACGAAGCGUGAGUGACGGUAAUGGGUAAAGAAGCACCGGCUAACUACGUG